GGCCCGGAAGCGGCUUUGUGGUACUCGAACGGGGUGCGGGUCUGGGCGCGGUUGUGAACCCCUGUCUGUCCCCUCAGUGGCGCUUUAGGCUGCUUCCCCCUCCCCCCCCAUCACAACUUGGGCCUUUUUUUUUUUUGGACUACAACUCCUAUCAGGCCUAGCUAGAGGACCAAGUGGUCAGGGCUGAUGGGAAUUGUAGUCCAAUAACGGCCCUGGGGAAACACUGGCAGAGACAGCAGGAGUGUAGCCGAAGCCCUUCCGGAUCGCCGCCUCGGCGGUGCUGGAAGUCCCGGACGACGGUUUGUUGUCGGAAUUUCGCAGGCGCAGCAGCUUAGAUCCGGGACUACCUUGGAAAGAACCGUUAAGGCCACAAUGCUACUGUCUGCGAUUACGUCGCCUGGGAGUAAACUCCAUUAAAACUAUAAUAUUGCGCUCUAUGGUGUAUCCUUUUAGUUGUGUGAUUUAUUUUGAAGUCAGUAUUUCUACUCAGUCGGCGGAACGUGAGACUCUUAAUCCUCAGGGUCCUAGUUUCGAGCCCCAAGUUGGGCGAAAGAUUAAUGCUUUGCACAGGUUUGGACCAGAUGACCCUUCUGGUCGCUUCCAGCUCUAGAGUUCUAUGAUUUCUCUUGUCUACUGUUGUGGAAAUCUAAAUGGGAAAAGAAGGUGGACUAGUGAAGCCUAAAACAACCCUGCAUGUGCCCAUGAAGAAUUACGUAUGGCUGUUACCAAGAUUUAAAGCCAUGAACUUUUUACUAAGAUAACUAUGGGCUGGGCAUCUUCUCAGCCUAAUCUACCCUACAAUGUUGUUGUUAGGAGAAAAUGAGCAGGCAGAAAACUACCUUGCAUUUGUUGGAGAAAGUAGCAUUUAGUGGUGGGUUAAAGUGGCAUUUAAUAAUGGUACAAUAAAAUAUGUCAUGUUCUCUGUUGGCUGUGUGUGUUUGUUCCUUACCCACGUGUGCAUUUAGGCACACACAUCUGAUAUAAUAAUAAUAAUGGUAUAAAAGGUGUAGCAGGAAAUCUGGUAUCUUUUAUAGAAGCAAUGCAUGUGAAUAUUAUCACCAUUAAAAGUAGAGUCAAGUCAUUAGGCAAACUAGUUUUUAAUUUUUUAGAGCUAGCAGUGCCAACAGUUCUCGUCCUUGAAUGAUAACCCCAUUCACUGCACUGUGCAACACAGUUUACUUAUUUGGUACAUACACUGCCAGCUCAUCAGCUGUUUUUCCUUCUGAAUUCUGAUUUAUUCAGGAUUAAUAAUCUAAUAACUAUUAACAAUUAGAAAUAUUUGAAAAGCAUAAAAUGUCUUCAGUACAAGAAUGAUUACAUUUGACAUUUACUAACUUGGUGGAUAAGAUUAUUCUAAAUCCAGUUUAAGGAAAGCCAUAUGAAAAAACACUGCAUCAAGAACCACAGGUGAAACCUAGACAUUCAAGAGUGCACUACAUCUCUUUCAGCUGAAUGUACAUUUCUAGCCACAUUCUGAACCCACAAGUAACAUGUAAAUGUUUUUAAAAUGUGUGAAUACAGCUGGAUUAGGUUACAAACCACAACAUUUCUUGCAAUCUCUGCUAAAGCAAUUUGUCUUCUACCCAUUUUCUGUACACACAGUAAAUUAUAUACAGUUAGCUAUUUUGGAAUUGGUAUGUACCCAGGAUCCUAAGAAGUUUGUUAUGUGAAUUGACCUUUAUUGUAAGUGCCACCAACAAACAGUUGUACUUUCUGUAGAGGCAGCAUCUAGAAAUCCUCACAAAGAGAUGAGAACAUGGUAUGUUGUGUGGAAGGUAUAUUCAUAGCUGGCAACUUUACCCUUUUUUUAAGGGAAAUUCCCUUAUUCCGAAUAGGAUUCCUCGCAAGAAAAGGGGAAAGUUGACAGCUAUGGGUAUAUUUAAGAUAGAGUAGGAGAGAAGCUUGAACAAAGAAACUGAAAAUUGGUUGGAGCAAAGCAUAUGAGACAUAGAGCAGCAUAGUCUGCUGUGCACGAGAGGGUUAUAUGCAGUAAGCAGGUAAAAGAUAUGUUUGGAUCCAAAAGGCUUCAUUUAAAGACACUAUGUGUGCUUGGGGGCUUUUAACCUUUUUUAUUUUUUAUUUUUGUAGCUUCAUCCUUCCUCUGGAUAAGCUGCCCUGACAGCUCUGGAACAGCAUGUUGAAACUUGGUCUGAUCCAGCUGGGCUCUUCAUACGCAUAAAGUGUAAGGCUUUUAGGCUGCUGGUGAGAAGAAUUGCAUCUUUGAAUACUUCUCUAAUUAAAAACAGAAACCAUUUCACAUAGAAACAUAGUCUGUUAGGGAGACUGUGAGGCAUGAUAAACCCUUUCCCCUGACAUGCUACUUUUCCAUGUAAACGAUUCCCCCCACAUGAGGAAACAUUAAAAGUGCAACAUGUACACACCCAUUGAUAGCCUAAAGUGGUAUAUGUUGCCCUUAAGCAGAUAAUUUACACAAAAGCGCUAUUUGAUCUUUCAAUAGAUUUCACAUUACGCCUACCCAAUUUUGCAGGUAAAUGAAAGUAUGUGUUGGAAAAAUAUUGAGGUGGUCAGAAUAGUAUAUGGACAGACUUAAAACGAAGAGAUUUGGACAUACGCCUGGUAAAAUUGGCAGAAAGCCAGAUUUCCUCCAUUUUGGGACAUGUAGCUUAUAAUUUCAGUCAUGAAGAAACGAAAGCGAAAGACAUGGAAGAAGAUAAACACCCACACAGGAACAUAUUGUUUGAUUUAACUUGCUUGCUAGAUGAACUCGGAGGCUGUGAAAAAUGAACGAAGGAUUAACAUCGGAUUGAUUUAUGGGAAUCACCUGGACUAACUUAGAAGGAGAGCAAAUGUGAGAUGAUCGCCACCCCCUGACCUCAGAGCAUGGGAAGUCAAACAAAGAUGUAUAAAUUGGCAUAAUAUUUGGACUGUUCGAUUAUUUUAUAAUUUGGAAUGUUUUUAAUGUGGCUUUUAUUGGAUUGUUAAAUUGGAAAACUUAAUAAAUAUUAUUUUAAAAAAGUAAGCCCCACCAACUUCAGUUGGACUUGCCCCCAAGUAAGGAUUGUGUAUAGGACUGUAGCUUCAGUCAGGGCUAUUUCAUAUGUCUCCCAUCCCACACAAGCACUUACACAUAAGGAAACAUGGAAGUGUGUGAAAUAGCCCACAUGGCAGCUGAAAUCACCCAUUUGCUCAUUGGGAGGAUCUUCCUCCUCCCAAGUCAAAGCUUUUUCUGCUUUUCCAACGCAGCAUUUUAAUGAAGUUAAGACUCGCGCUGAAAACCUUAUCAUGCUGAAAAACCAUUUUGUAGAAGGUAUCAAUAGGCAGGUCUCCAUUUGGAUCAGCAUAUUUCAGCGUUGUAAUUGG